rnacentral:rRNA from 1 species
UGAGGAAUAUUGGGCAAUGGGCGCAAGCCUGACCCAGCAACGCCGCGUGGAGGAAGACGGCCUUCGGGUUGUAAACUCCUUUUACGGGGGAAGAGGAAGGACGGUACCCCGAGAAUAAGUCACGGCUAACUACGUGCCAGCAGCCGCGGUAAUACGUAGGUGACAAGCGUUAUCCGGAAUUACUGGGCGUAAAGCGCACGCAGGCGGCGCGGUAAGUCUGAUGUGAAAUCUCCUGGCUUAACUGGGAGGGGUCAUUGGAAACUGCCGAGCUUGAGGCGAUGAGAGGGGUGUAGAAUUCCCGGUGUAGUGGUGGAAUGCGUAGAUAUCGGGAGGAAUACCAGUGGCGAAAGCGACACCCUGGCAUUAGCCUGACGCUCAUGUGCGAAGGCGUGGGGAGCGAACGGGAUUAGAUACCCCGGUAGUCCACGCGGUAAACGAUGAAUACUAGGUGUGGGUGGAGUGAAAUCCAUCUGUGCCGAAGCAAACGCGCUAAGUA